UACGGGGGGAGCAAGCGUUGUUCGGAUUUACUGGGCGUAAAGGGCGCGUAGGCGGCCUGUGCAAGUCAGUUGUGAAAUCUCCGAGCUUAACUCGGAACGGUCAACUGAUACUGCUCGGCUAGAGUGCGGAAGGGGCAACUGGAAUUCUUGGUGUAGCGGUGAAAUGCGUAGAUAUCAAGAGGAACACCAAUGGCGAAGGCAGCUCGCUGGGACGGUACUGACGCUGAGACGCGAAAGCGUGGGGAGCAAACAGG
rnacentral:rRNA from 1 species